rnacentral:rRNA from 1 species
UGGGGAAUAUUGCACAAUGGGCGCAAGCCUGAUGCAGCCAUGCCGCGUGUGUGAAGAAGGCCUUCGGGUUGUAAAGUACUUUCAGUCGGGAGGAAGGUGGUAAGGUUAAUAACCUUAUCAAUUGACGUUACCGACAGAAGAAGCACCGGCUAACUCCGUGCCAGCAGCCGCGGUAAUACGGAGGGUGCAAGCGUUAAUCGGAAUUACUGGGCGUAAAGCGCACGCAGGCGGUUGAUUGAGUCAGAUGUGAAAUCCCCGGGCUUAACCCGGGAAUUGCAUCUGAUACUGGUCAGCUAGAGUCUUGUAGAGGGGGGUAGAAUUCCAUGUGUAGCGGUGAAAUGCGUAGAGAUGUGGAGGAAUACCGGUGGCGAAGGCGGCCCCCUGGACAAAGACUGACGCUCAGGUGCGAAAGAGUGGGGAGCAAACAGG